UACGGAGGGUCCGAGCGUUAUCCGGAUUUAUUGGGUUUAAAGGGUGCGCAGGCGGGAGAUUAAGUCGGCGGUGAAAUUUUGCAGCUCAACUGUAAAAGUGCCUUCGAAACUGGUUUCCUUGAGUGUGGAUGAAGUAGGCGGAAUUUGUGGUGUAGCGGUGGAAUGCAUAGAUAUCACGAGGAACUCCGAUUGCGCAGGCAGCUUACUAAACUACUACUGACGCUCAGGCACGAAGGCGUGGGGAUCAAACAGGAUUAGAUACCCUGGUAGU
rnacentral:rRNA from 1 species